AACGAACGCUGGCGGCAGGCCUAACACAUGCAAGUCGAGCGAGGACUUCGGUCCUACCGGCGGACGGGUGAGUAACGCGUUGGAACGUGGCCUUUGCUUCGGAAUAGCCCGGGGAAACUGGGAGGAAUACCGGAUGAGCCCUCUGGUGGAAAGAUUUAUCGGCGAAGGAUCGGCCCGCGUUGGAUUAGGUAGUUGGUGGGGUAAUGGCCUACCAAGCCGACGAUCCAUAGAUGGUUUGAGAGGAUGAUCAGCCACACUGGGACUGAGACACGGCCCAGACUCCUACGGGAGGCAGCAGUGGGGAAUCUUAGAAAAUGGGGGAAAUCAUGAUCUAGCCAUGCCGCGUGAGCGAUGAAGGCCUUAGGGUUGUAAAGCUAUUUCAGCUGGGAAGAUAAUGACGGUACCAGCAGAAGAAGCCCCGGCUAACUCCGUG
rnacentral:rRNA from 1 species